rnacentral:lncRNA from 1 species
CUUGUCUCCGGUCUGCCGGGCCAGGGUGUCUGCGGCGCGUGGAGUCACGUUAAGAAUGGCCGAGGUCGUGGCUGGAGCAGAAAUGCCACCUUGCGGGGCUGGGUUGAGCCAAGAUUGGUUUGGAGGACCGGACAUCCCAGAGCUUCCUUUGUUGGAGUUUUGCCCACACGUUGUAAUUAAGACUCCCACAGUGUGGUGAGGGUGGGUGCUGAUUACCGAGACACCAGCUUUGUGCUUGUCUAAUGGAACACGAGUGCCAUUGCUUUCUCCUUCUUGCGCGGCGGUUUUGUCACUGAGUAGCAUUGUGCGGAAUGCCUUUGUGAAGUGAGCCUUCUGCGUUAAACUUGGGCUGAUGAAGGUAUAGUGUAGUAGUAAUUGUGAAAGGCGUGUGUGGGAAAAACAAGCUACUAUGUGAUGCUUGAAGGAACAAAGACUGUUUUGUAGGGAUGCUUAUCUAUUUGGAGAACUGUAUCAGUGUUGGGACUGUUACCCAUGGUGGAUGCCACUACUGCGGCUAUGUUCAUAUACUUUAACGCUCCUUAUAUCCGGAGGCUUUGCAUUCUGAGCAGUCCAGAAAGAUAAGGGGGGGGGGGACACCGGACGUGUUGGUGACAGAGCACUUGAGCGCUUCACAUGGUCAAGCAGAGAAAUGGGAAGAGGAGACUUCCUCUUGGUUUUCAUGGCCCUUGGCUUUUCAUGCAUACAGUAGUCGUUUCUGGUGGCAGAGACAAUGGUAAGGAGAAUAUGAGUGGAAUUGGCAGGUUGCAUUGCGUCAAGUCUAGAAAGAGCUGUCUAAUGAAAGCCUCUUUGAACUGAAUUACAACCAUUGAUCACAAGGAAGACUGAAGAGAGCAUGCGGAUGCACAACACGUUGCUGCUACUGGAAAAACAGCUCCAGUGAACAUUCUGAUGUUAAGUCAGUAGCAGCAACUCAAACACCCAACUUCUGAGGGCAAUGAACACAGGAUAUGGCUUUUUACUAAAAGGGUCUAACCAUCUCAUCAAAAGCCCAGAGAUGGUCAUCACUGGUUAAUUGGAAUUGGCUUUUGAAGAAAUAAAAACACUUUCCAUUCUGCA